AGGGCACCACCAGGAGUGGAGCCUGCGGCUUAAUUUGACUCAACACGGGAAAUCUCACCAGGCCCGGACACCGGAAGGAUUGACAGAUUGAGAGCUCUUUCUUGAUUCGGUGGGUGGUGGUGCAUGGCCGUUCUUAGUUGGUGGAGCGAUUUGUCUGGUUAAUUCCGAUAACGAACGAGACUCUGGCCUACUAACUAGGCGUUGGAUCCCUUUGUGGGUCCAUCGCAGCUUCUUAGAGGGACGGGCGGCGUUUAGCCGCACGAGAUUGAGCAAUAACAGGUCUGUGAUGCCCUUAGAUGUUCUGGGCUGCACGCGCGCUACACUGAAGGAAUCAGCGUGUGUUCCCUAUCCGAAAGGAUUGGGAAACCCGUUGAACCUCCUUCGUGAUGGGGAUUGGGGAUUGCAAUUAUUCCCCAUGAACGAGGAAUUCCCAGUAGGCGCGAGUCAUAAGCUUGCGUCGAUUACGUCCCUGCCCUUUGUACACACCGCCCGUCGCUACUACCGAUCGAGUGAUUUAGU
rnacentral:rRNA from 1 species